GACGAACGCUGGCGGCGUGCCUAAUACAUGCAAGCCGAACGCUUUUUCUUUCACCGGAGCUUGCUCCAUCGAAAGAAAAAGAGUGGCGAACGGGUGAGUAACACGUGGGUAACCUGCCCAUCAGAAGGGGAUAACACUUGGAAACAGGUGCUAAUACCGUAUAACACUAUUUUCCGCAUGGAAGAAAGUUGAAAGGCGCUUUUGCGUCACUGAUGGAUGGACCCGCGGUGCAUUAGCUAGUUGGUGAGGUAACGGCUCACCAAGGCAACGAUGCAUAGCCGACCUGAGAGGGUGAUCGGCCACACUGGGACUGAGACACGGCCCAGACUCCUACGGGAGGCAGCAGUAGGGAAUCUUCGGCAAUGGACGAAAGUCUGACCGAGCAACGCCGCGUGAGUGAAGAAGGUUUUCGGAUCGUAAAACUCUGUUGUUAGAGAAGAACAAGGAUGAGAGUAGAACGUUCAUCCCAUGACGGUAUCUAACCAGAAAGCCACGGCUAACUACGUGCCAGCCGCCGCAGUAA
rnacentral:rRNA from 1 species